CGGGGGGUUGAGCUGCGGUGGUCCCGGUGCUCCCGCAGUGCCCCUCCUGGGCUGCCAGGCUGGAUUUUAUGGGAAUAUCGAUAGAAUUAAAGUUCCUUGUAAUUCCGUGAUAAAUGGGGUGUCUCUAGUAAGUAAGAUGAAGUGCGGUGCUGUGAAGUUGUUUAUCUGGAAAGUAAUUCUCAGAAACCUGACUUCUGACACUUGGUCAUAUAUUAAACCGGCGUCUUGAACGUUGUACUUCAGAUGCUCCUUUUCCCCCUUCCCUUCGCAGUUUGCUAUUUAUAAGACUUUGUAGGUGCGGGUGAGUUGCUGGGUAAUUUUUCACCAACUGUGAAAAGCAUCGUUUGCAACAGCCAAAGAAUUCUCUGCUUGGGAAAUAGUACGGGGAGAGUGGGCUCACGAAUAGAUAACAUCUCCCGACCGUGCCAUUAUCGGCACAAAGCCGCGCAGCUGUGCUGCUCCCGGCAGCCAAAAGGCAGGGAGGGCACGCUGCGCGGCGAGCAGGAUAACGACACCUAGAUGGGAUCGCAGAGGCGAUUCUGCAAAGCUAAAGCAUGCUCUGACAGCACAAACAACAGGAGUGUAGUUCUGCAGAGCCCCAAAGACACCCGGACAUCUGCCGGGUUUAUCUUAGAGACUGCAAUUAGUGACAAACUGAACGCAACUCGGGUUGGCUUUCCUAUUCCUGCACACCACUGGAACCAGCAAAAGUUCCCAACUGACAGCAUAAACCCCCCAGGACGGCCCCAUUCCCCAACUCUUGUUUUUUCCAGAGUGAGGUGAAGGAGGCACUGUAUGUCACUUAAUGUGCUCACCUAGGAGAGGGAUAAAAAGUGAAGGUUAUUGCUUUUUGGAACGCACACACACAGUGUUCCACUUGCAUGUUUGAUGGAUGUCUGUGGAAACACAGCUCCAGUCCCAGCGAACUGUUUGUUUGCAUCCAGUUUGCAAACCAGUAGCUUUCUGAGUAAACUUGAGACAAAGAGCACAAAUUCGGGUGAGCUGAGGGGGGCCUCUUCCUUCACACCGAUGUGAGUGAGUGCAAGCGGAGCUGUGACCUCCAGAGCAGCGCUGGAGUUAUUGUACAAAAUUGUUCUGCUGUGAUUAUUGCAGAGCUGCCGCUCCAAGAAAGAAAGGAUUAUUUGCAAUUUUUGGAUAACCUUCAGAAGCAACAACGCUCUCCUCCCUCCCCUCUGUAAUUCUCACUGUAGUGCUAUUUUCCUUUAUUAUUUGGCUAUUCACGACGGCUGUCUAAACAUUUACAGUCCCCUAUUAACAGCGUUUCUCCCCUAACAAUCGCACACUUUCAUUUCAAUUAGAGCCAUUCAGGCUCGGGUUUUGCCACCAGGCCACGUCUCAGCCCCUCUCUCUCUCCCAGCACCGACCCAGGCAGCGCACAGCCCACAUCCCCGCACCUCCUGCCCCGCUCCAGGUUAGGAGCUCAGACCACGAUGCGUUCUGCUUUGGGUGCGGAUCAAGAACAACACAUUAAGAACAGUUACCGCUCCCUUUGUUUGCCCGGUGUCUGAUUUUAUGGUGCAGAACUAAAGAGUGCCCGCUGAAUUUGACUAUGGAACCGGGCAAAUUGCUUUCCGAAAGACUUCUUCGGAGCACAGUGAUAAGGCACAACCCGCUCCUAGGUGCAGCGCCAGAUAAAUCCUUUUAACAGUCCUCAGAUCAGUUAACAGGGUGAGUAAAUCACAGAUCGCUGUUAGCAGAUUUAUGGGAGAGAAUUAAUAGAAUCAGACGAGAUAAUCUGGCGGGGAUAAAAUUGCUGAGGAAACAGUCCUGCCUUCUAUGGGGGGUACAGAACAGCGCUGUGAUUGUGGGCAGCCAGCGCGGGUCGGGCAUUCGGAGCUCAAUCAUCGCGGCAGCAAUUUGGCGUUUAUUAAUUCUUUUCUCUUUAAGCAACUCGCAGAUGCAAAUAAAAGCCGCGCUCUCUUUGAAGACACGUUCUUUAUAUAUUUUUAUUGGAGUUUUGCAUCGGUGUUGCCGAAUCCAUCGUUUCCACUGCUUGCUUAUCGUGUUUCUGAAACACUCAAAAUAUCCUAAAUAACUUCGUAUGAUCCAGAAGGAACUUCUCUCUCUGGCUGGAGGUUGGCGCCACCAGGAGGAGGUGUCAGUGAAAACGAGACAGUUCUGGAGCCAGCAUCACUGCCAGCAGCCAGGGCUUAAUCCUGGGCAGAGCUAGGGACAGUGUAUUCCUCUCCCUGCCAUGGCUCCAGCUGCUCCCACCCCCGGCCCUCUCCACCAGCAAAUGAGUUAUUCUCCCACAGAACUGAGAACAACCUGCAUUUUCCAGGAUUGCUUUAGAGAGCCUCGGUGCAGAGAAGUGCAUGUUGUGAUGACAUCUGACAUCGUUCAGUGGCAUUCACUGUCCACACCAGCGGGAAUGGAAAGUUUCAUGCCCCAUUCCCCUCCUGCUCCCCAGCAUUAGCUCACCACUGUGGCGGGGCUGGGCAAACCACUUUGCAUUUGCUUCCAUCCGGAGUCCGGGUCAUUGGGAAAUGCUAAUCCUUAACAAAAAGGAAAUGAUAAAAAUACCCAUGAAAUUAAUUUUCACACCUGCAGUCGAGAUUAAUAACAGCAACCGGAGUGGCAUCCUAUUUCAGCUCCCUGGAGGUGACUAAGAGCCCUGGCCAUGAAUAUCAUACCAACCACCAGAGGAAUUCACUGUCUGAGGGAUCCACCAUGGAAAACAAUUGAUCCCCAGAGCUCCGCCUGCACAGUGGAAAACGGCUUUAGUCAUGUAUUAGUCAUUUUAUCACAAGAUGGUAUUUCUGCACGGGGAGGUUUGCCCUCUGAGCCCAGAACAGAAGAACAGCAUUUGGCUUGGUAAUUUACACAAAGGUUUUCAUCAUUUUCUUUAGAAGGAUGUGUGUAAAUGAUGAAGAGCAAUAA